UAGUCCACGCCGUAAACGAUGUACAUUAGUUGUUGGUAAGUUAAUCUUAUCAGUAAUGCAGUUAACACAUUAAAUGUACCGCCUGGGGAGUACGGUCGCAAGAUUAAAACUCAAAGGAAUAGACGGGGACCCGCACAAGCGGUGGAGCAUGUGGUUUAAUUCGAAGAUACGCGAAGAACCUUACCUGGCCUUGACAUCCUUCGAAUCUGAUAGAGAUAUUAGAGUGCUAGUUUACUAGAGCGAAGUGACAGGUGCUGCACGGCUGUCGUCAGCUCGUGUCGUGAGAUGUUGGGUUAAGUCCCGCAACGAGCGCAACCCUUAUCUUUAGUUACUAACAGGUUAAGCUGAGGACUCUAAAGAGACUGCCUGGGCAACCAGGAGGAAGGUGAGGACGACGUCAAGUCAUCAUGGCCCUUACGGCCAGGGCUACACACGUGCUACAAUGGCUAGGACAAUGAGAUGCGAAAUUGCGAGAUGGAGCAAAUCUAUAAACCUAGUCCC
rnacentral:rRNA from 1 species